rnacentral:lncRNA from 1 species
GAGUAUAGGCGAGAGUCGUAACCAAAGGUUUAGAGGUUGGAUUAGAGAUAAUGAUAACUCGGGUGCAAUCUAAGUGAACCGUAAUGUGAAUCUAGCUAGCGUAGCUUGAGAGAGUAUGUCUAGUAAAUUAUCAUAAUUGCUUGAGAAAGAUUAAUGAUUGCUGGAGCUUUCAUGAUUGAUGGAGACAAGUGGGUCUCAAUUAUAAAACAUAUUCAACCAAGGAAAUCAACAAUGGGGGAAUCCAUUACCUUAGACCUUAUUCUAAU